AAACCCCGAAGACCACCAUAUCAACGUACUUAAUAACAUUGAUCGAUAUGGAUGAGUGGCAUGGAAAUUUCGUGCAAUGUGAUCUCUAAAUCAUGCAUAUUUCCAACUGAUCUUACUGGAGUCUUUAGUGAGAUCAAACUGAAGUUCCUUAUGUGCAAUUCAAAAUUAUAAUAUUUGCAUAUAACAAAAACUUGAUAUUGUUAUAACAAUAGUACCUCAUAAGUU
rnacentral:lncRNA from 1 species